AGAAAGCUCCCUUCGGGGGGUGAGUAAAGUGGCGAACGGGUGAGUAAUACGUAGGUAAUCUACCUAUAGAUUGGGGAUAACGUGCCUAACGGUGCGCUAAUACCGAAUGACGCAUCAGGAUGUUGAUUCUGAUGUUAAAGGUGGUUCGUAAGAACUAUCGUCUGUGGAUGAGCUUACGGCCCAUUAGCUAGUUGGUGGGAUAACGGCCUACCAAGGCUACGAUGGGUAGCCGGCCUGAGAGGGUGUCCGGCCACACUGGGACUGAGAUACGGCCCAGACUCCUACGGGAGGCAGCAGUAAGGAAUAUUGCGCAAUGGUCGAAAGACUGACGCAGCAACGCCGCGUGGGUGAUGAAGUUCUAUGGAAUGUAAAACCCUGUUAGGAGGGACGAAUAAUAUAAAGCUAACACUUUAUAGUUGACGGUACCUCCAAAGAAAGCCCCGGCUAACUCCGUGCCAGCAGCCGCGGUAAUACGGGGGGGGCGAGCGUUGUCCGGAAUCACUGGGCAUAAAGGGCG
rnacentral:rRNA from 1 species